rnacentral:rRNA from 1 species
GAUUAACGCUGGCGGCGUGCAUAACACAUGCAAGUCGAACGAUGAAACUUUAAUGAACCCUUCGGGGAGAAUUAAAGCGGAUUAGUGGCGAACGGGUGAGUAACGCGUGAGUAACCUGCCUUACACAAGGGGAUAGCCUUUGGAAACGAAGAAUAAUACCCUAUAAAACCAUAAAAGCACAUGCAAUUAUGGUCAAAGUGAUAGCGGUGUAAGAUGGACUUGCGUCUGAUUAGCUAGUUGGUGAGAUAAAAGCCCACCAAGGCAACGAUCAGUAGCCGGCUUGAGAGAGUGUACGGCCACAUUGGGACUGAGACACGGCCUAGACUCCUACGGGAGGCAGCAGUGGGGAAUUUUGCACAAUGGGGGAAACCCUGAUGCAGCGACGCCGCGUGAUUUAGAAGGCCUUCGGGUUGUAAAAAUCUUUUGUAUAGGAAGAAAAUGACAGUACUAUACGAAUAAGGUCCGGCUAAUUACGUG